GUCUGCGGCCACACCACCGUGAACGCUCCCGGUUUCAUCUCAUCUCGGAAGCUAAGCAUGGUCGGGCCUGGUUAGUACUUGGAUGGGAGAAAAAGCGUCUUUGCCAAUC
rnacentral:rRNA from 1 species